GCUUCUUUCUCUUCUCCUGUAACAGCUGCAACUUCUGGAUACCCAACUUCCUACCCAUGGAGAACUACACCUGCCACAUACACAACCACAGAAAGCUCCGUUCCAUCCAUUCCUUCAGGUGCCUCUCUGAGCUUGGUGAAUGGGCGUAACC